ACCACGUGCGGGAGGCCCAGCAAAGCUCUGGCGGCGGCCGAGCUGCGGAGCUCUCGAGCAGGAGUUGUAGCUGUGAGGAUGCCCUGCAAACGCCGAGUCACGGAUCCUCUGCAGCCAAGCGUGUAGCUUGACAGGAUAAUGGAUUAGCAGCACAGAGGAUGGAAUGGAGUUUGUGUCUGUGAAUGAAGAAAGCCCUGAGGAGAGGUUGCAAGUAUGAAGCUUUGGGGAGAUUCGCUGGGAGCCAGUUCACUCCUCUGGAUUUGAGCUCUAAGCCAUGUUCCUUGUAAUCGCAUCUGCAGUUAAAUCAUGACGGCAAAGGGAAAAAAACAUGGAGGUAUCACAAUCUGGGAAAUGAGGUUCCAGUGUGGACGUACGUGUAGAUGUGGCACUGAGCAACGAGACAUUUCUGUGCAAAGGCCCUGCAAAAGACUGGAGCAAAAUGCCACAAACCUCUGCAACCCAAAGAUAAGAGCUGAAAAAGUGUAAAAAUACAUAGGCAAGCUUCCUCUACCUCAGGCUUCUUUCUUCAACUGUGUCCUGAUCUCUCCAUAACUGCAAGAGAUAAGGUAUCUGUAGUGGAGUUCACCAUUUACCUCCUUUCUAAAACAGAGAAUCGUUUGUUUUGCCAUCUUGAAAAAUAUUGCAAAACACUCCAAACACUGAUUGCAGGGACAAGUCAACAGCAUUGCAGGUGCCACCCAUUUCCAGGGUGCUUUUGCUCCACGUCCCAGAGGCGUAUAUGGGAGACAGCACAGCCACAGCCAAACUGUGCAACUCCACUUGCUGAGGUCUCAUGGGGAUUUUGGUUGGGAAACGGGAAAACUGAAACUCAGAGCUAAUGAGCACUGUAGGAGAGCAGGGUUCCUGAGACAGAGAGACACGUUUGUACCAGACACUGUAACACUGAGUAAGAAGAGACAGCUGUUAUCUCUGGGAACUUAUCCACAUGGACAUAAAAGACAGUCUGAGAGAAAUAAGAGUAAUGAGGAAACCUCACAGCAGGCAGGUAAGACUGGGAAGGUAACUUAAAUUUUCUGAGUCUGAGCUAGCACUGACUCCACUGGCCUACCUUAAGAGACAGUCCCUCUGAAGAUCAAGGUUGAUUGAUCUCCUGGUUAUUUUUUAAUUUGGGCGUUUUAGCCUGGCCUAUUUAAAACUCCCCUGCACAGCAAUGGUCUUUUAUCUGUCUGCCUCUCUCUGAUCUGUGCUUGGGAAGUCAGCAGGUAGGGUGCAUCAUGAGCCUUGCUUCUGCAUUGCAUGUCAGUAAUUAAAGAAGCCAUUCAAAAUAAAGCUCCUACUCAUGUUCUCUAUUAAUAGCCAAGAGCUUUCCUCCUCCCUUCCCCUCCCACGACCUCUUUCUUUUAAAGUGGUAAAGCAACCCUGUCCAGGGUUGUCCUUGUGCUCAGAUACCAACUCAGCAUCUUUCCAGCUGCAUUACAGCAAUUCUCUGAAGACCUCAAGGCAGUUUCCUCAAAAAUAUGCCACAUAACACCCCAGUAACCCUAUCAAGAUCCCAGUAGCAACGAAAGAUUAUGGGAAUAGAUGACUUAAAAUUGAUGUCAGCUUUUACUGACAUGAAAGGUUUCCUGUUCAGACCCUGACACUGACUAUCCACUCGCUUCUGAAAGCCUCAGUUAUGUGGGCUUAGCAAAUCUGAGAGCAGGGCAACGGCCAGAGUGGCAGAAAUGACUUGUCAAAAAAGAGGCGCAGUGAGAUGGGCUGCAGAAAAGAUGAGUCAUGGACAAGCUGCACUCCAGAAACUGCUCAGCAGGGCCAGCUGCUGCCUUUCAGAAAAUUAACUUGCUGGGCUUGACAAGCUAGCACUGAAGGUGCAGCAGAGGAGCUCAUCUUGAGGUAGUCCAGUGCAUCCAGAGGAUGCUGCAUCUGCUCUUGCUUUGAGAGGAUGGUCAGUUGGAUAUGCAGAGGUUAUGGAGAAGCACUCUGGAGAUCAGUGUUGCCAGGCCACAUACAUGAAGGCAGUCAGCAGACAGGAUUUGUUAUCCAAAAAUUAUUCUUUUGUUAAUAACUAAACACUGAUUAGGAAAGGUAAAAGAGCCAAAGCUUUAAAGAGGGUGGUGAGCUGGAAAUGGAUUUGUAACUUGUAGUGAUUUUAACUUCAGAAAAGCCUUAAAUUAACUGUUUAUAAUUGGGUCCCUCUUUUUUUCUCUUUUUGUGGUCAUGUUGGGUGGUGUUGUAGUCUGAGAUGGGGAGUGCACCGAGGAUGAAAGGCUGGAGGUAUAUUUAAACAGCCUUCCAAACAUGUAGCAUAAGAUGUGCACAAGGGCUGCUGCAGGGUCAGACAAGCUGGAGGGCACACAGAGAAUUGCCUGUUUUGUCAGCAGGAGACCCCCUGAGGAAGACCCCUCUUAUUGGCAUCUUCACCAUUGAGAGGUCAGUGAGGUGGCCACAUCCCAGCGCCUCCUGCCUCUCCUCCUGACGUGGGCAGUGGUCCCUGGCGACCCCCAUUGCCCAGCAAAGGGGUGCACUGGCAUGGACCAUGAGAAGUGGGUAUGGGAGCUGGGAUGCCGGUUUGUCCGUGUGGGCACAUCUGUGAGGAGAUGCCCAGGGUAGUCUGGGGAAAGUCCCAUGGGUGGAUUGCCUCCUUCUGUCUUCCUGUCCUCCAGUUUUGGAGGGGAGGCAAACACCCCUAUCAUGGGGUGGAACCCUCUCCCCACAAAGCCAUGCAACCAAGGCAGGAUUUAAGGAAGAGUAUCAUCUGCUUCAGGGAGUGAUUGAUGGGGGAAUGUGCCUGGUUAACAUUUCUGCAACAAAUAUCCCUGGAAAGUCUUCUUUUUAUGUGAAAAUCCACUACAAACAGGAAGGUGGAAAGAGAAAAGUGUCUUUCCCCUCAACAAAUAGA